rnacentral:rRNA from 1 species
AAGGUGGAUUUAUGAGUAAUUAUGUUUUAUUAAUAGGUGAUGAAGUAUGGAAUGACACGUGUACAUAUUGCCCGUCGCUCUCGUGAUUGAUUGAGAUAAGUCGUAACAUAGUUGGUUUACUGGAAAGUGAAUCUUUUUU